UCCUCUCCCUCUCGUUAUGGUCCUGUUGUCCUGAUUUCGAUACAUCAUACUUUUCUUUUUAAUGCUGUGUCUUUUCAGCAUCCUUCAUGAGAUCAUGAUCCAGGCCCUCUCUCCCAAUGAAGCGUCCAUGUGAUUAUGUUUGAUUUAUCUGGACAAUCCAGGAUGCUUUCCCCACCUAGUCUCCUUAAUUUAAUCACAUCUGCAAGAUCUGUCUUGCCACAAAAGGACCCCAGUGAACUGAGGUGUUGAAUGAAGACAAAGAGAAUAGAGAAUGAACAGAGGACAUGUGCAGUGGAAAGCUACCGACUGAGGCCUUGUGACCAGUCCCAGGAAGGUUUCUUGAUAUUCACUCAAUAUUUACAUUUCGUGCCAAACUCUUUCCU